rnacentral:rRNA from 1 species
AGAGUUUGAUCAUGGCUCAGAACGAACGCUGGCGGUAUGCCUAACACAUGCAAGUCGAACGCGAACGGAAUCUUCGGAUUCCAAGUAGAGUGGCGCACGGGUGAGUAACACGUGGAUAAUCUGCCCUAAGGUCAGGGAUAACACUUCGAAAGGGGUGCUAAUACCGGAUAAGCUCACGCCUUCUUUGGAGGAAGUGAGAAAAGAUUUAUUGCCUUAGGAUGAGUCCGCGGUCCAUUAGCUAGUUGGUGGGGUAACGGCCUACCAAGGCUGCGAUGGAUAGCUGGUCUGAGAGGAUGAUCAGCCACACUGGAACUGAGACACGGUCCAGACUCCUACGGGAGGCAGCAGUGGGGAAUUUUGCGCAAUGGGGGAAACCCUGACGCAGCAAUACCGCGUGAAGGAUGAAGGCCCUUGGGUCGUAAACUUCUGUCAGAGGGGAAGAAAUACUCGCAAGAGUGCUGACGGUACCCUCAAAGGAAGCACCGGCUAACUCCGUGCCAGCAGCCGCGGUAAUACGGAGGGUGCAAGCGUUGUUCGGAAUUAUUGGGCGUAAAGAGCAUGUAGGCGGACUGUUAAGUCUGGUGUGAAAGCCCGGGGCUCAACCCCGGAAGUGCAUUGGAUACUGGCAGUCUUGAGUAUGGGAGAGGGAAGUGGA